CGAGCCGAGCCGAGCGUCGCGCGAGCGCCUCCGAGCCCACCUCGCGGCCCCACGUCGCCUCCAGCUCCUCCCGGCUCCCGGCCCGAAGCACUACGCGGCCGGUCGGCCGCCCGCCCGCCAGAAGCCCCAUCCCGAGCUGGCCGAACCCCAAACGCAUUCUCAACAGGUGGCCGGGGCACCGAUACUUGUUGGGGAGAAGAUAUAUAUGCAGUUGAGGACAGCCUUUCCAUGGGAGGAAUCUCCGAAGGCUUCCUGGAGGAGGUGGGGUUUUGAGCUGGGCAGUAUCUAGGUUGAGUAUAAGUC